UGCUUGAUCAAAUGAAAAAAAUGAAAAAAGAAGACUUUGUUUUCAAUUUGAUACAUUGAUUUUAGUGAAUUAUCUAUGAAAGACCUGUACCACAUAAUGGUAACACAAAAAAAAAGAAUGUUGUGGUUCCCUAUUAGCCCGAGAAAGAAGACCAUGACAUCAAUGGAAGAAUAGUCAGAAGUUAUGAAUAGACAAGUUAAUUAAUUAAAUCUGUAUUAGAAAUUUCAUGGUUUCAGGAUGUUCUCCUUCUUAUUGAGCAGUUUCAACUCCAGCAUAGCUCUUUUUUAAAUUUGUUUCCCCAAUUACUAGAGUA
rnacentral:lncRNA from 1 species